UCUGGCUGACUGUUGUGCCCCACACCAGACUCCAGAAUGUCAGUGUCACUGGAUUACACCAUUCUGCUGGGGAAGUCUGUUCAAGUUUCUGUUCAGAUCCUCAGGGAGAGAGCAUGGACUAGUGCUGUGGAUGUGAACUGGGCAAGAGUUAAAUGCUGCCAUGGAGCCGUUGUCUCACCUUUGAAAAUGCAGUGGGAGAUACGUACCUCUGCUCUUGUGAAGAAUCCUGUUUUCUUGCUGGCAGCACAGCCUGCUCCAAUUAGGAAAACAAGAUCUGAAACAAGGCCUGGAGUUGGUCUGUCCCCUGCUGUGGCAGUGGUACUGUUGCUGCUUUUGUGAUGAAUUCCUGUAUACAAGACCCAGGCAGUGCAGAGCUGGGAGUAGCAGUUGAUUCACUGGAGGGACCGUGCUGCCAUUCAGAAAGACCUUGACAAGUGGAGAAAUGAGCCUACAGGAACAUCCUGCAGCUCAACAGAAAGAAAUGCCAAAUCCUGAUCCUGGGGAGAAAGAAACCCAGGCACUACUACAGGAUGGGGAACCCCCAGCGGGAAGACAGCUGGAAGAGGAAAGACCUUGGGAUUUUGGUGGACACCUAGUUGAACAGGAGCCAGCAGUGUGCCUUUGUGGCACAUCUUCAGCAUUAGAGGAAUUGUUGCCAGCAGGUGGGAGGAGAUGAUCCUCUUUCCACGCAGCUCUGGUGAGAUGCAGCUGGGCUUCCAGUACAGGAGGGACGUGGACACACUGAAAUGUACCAAAUGAAGGAUCAAGAGGAGCAUGAAGAGAUUGGGUCACAUUUAACUUAAGAGAAGAGGCUGAGAGAGCUGGAGUUAUUCAGUAUGGAGUAGGGAAAGCUGGGGUUGGAGGAGGACUUAUCAAUGGGCGCAAAAUAAAACACAGGAAAUUCCAUUUCGAAAUAGAAAAUCCUUUACUGUAGAGUGGACUAACACUGGAAUAGGUUGUUCAGAGAAACUGUGGAGUCUCUACUCUUGGAAAUGCUAAAAACCCUAACAGAUAUGAUUCUGAGCAAUUCUGCUCUGAGCAGUUUGGACUAGACAAUCUGCAGAGCACCCUUCUGACCUCAGUUGUUCUGUGAUUUUUAUUCCCAGUUCUUAACACCAAAUAGAUUACUCAGCUGCCAAUGACCUGGUAAAGAACUAAACUGAUUCUCUUUAGAGUGAAGGUCUACUGGGCUGGCGUGGAUUAGGCGAGCCAGACAGGGCUGUCAACUGGAUAAACUGUCUUCUUCCUUUUCUUCCAAGUUCCUCCCUUUGGCAAACGUGAUGUAAUGCAAAGCCAGGACCAGAGUUUAUGAUCUUUAGGUCUAGGAACUGCUUUUGUUAUAUAAAUAACAAAUUGAAAAGUGAGGCUGUAGCAAGAUCUUCUCAAUAUAUCAGGUCAGAACCUCUUCAGUUAUCAAGCCAUCUCCUGUUCUCCGGCUUUGGCUGGAGUGAAUGCAGAAGACAGUUUUUUACGGUUCAUGCCACAAGGUGUAGGGAACUGGCUGCAGAUAUCAGCUUAAGCUAUUUUAUGGAAGAAGAAAGCGGUCUGGGAUGAAAAGCAAGGCUAGUAUUAUGAAUAUGUGCUAUAGCUUGUACUGUUGGUCUAAUAGAAAUUCUGCUUGUUUCUCCAAAGCCUGUUAGAACUUAGAAGAUGGGAUUUCAAGGUGUUACUCUAUUAGUGAUAGAGGAUGGAACUGAAAUCCUCUCACUUUUUUCAUGACACCGUGGGAAAUAAUUUCAAGUUAUGAUCAGGGUUCUGAGGAAGAAGGCAAGAAGGUCUCAAAGGUCAGGCUGUGAUCAUUAAAAGUCUAGGAGGUCUCCCAUGGGUACUGGCAAGCUAAGGGCUCUGCAAAACUAAGAUCUCAACUAAGUUUGGGCUGCUUGGGGAUAAACUAAUUCCUUAGAAAAUGGAGUGGAAUGGUCACCAUCCAGCCUUGAAAGGAUGAGUCAAUGCAAAGCCUUGGAAGACUUUGCACUAAACUAGCCUUGAAUGACGUGGAGG